ACUACUCUUACUUUAUCUUCUCCUCGAUCAUCGAUUCUUCUCUCUUUUUGAGACCUAUCUUCUCUCGGAGUCACCGUCGGGAUCCGCCGUCUCUUUCUCUCACGCAGCGGCGACGAAAGAGAUUCCAGAGAAUCCCAAUUCAAAAUCUCUAAAAUAUCGACUCCUUUACGAGAUUCAAUACCUAGUUAAACUUAACAGCACGAAGAAGCGAUUAUCAAUCAAAACCGAAGCUUCCAUGAGCGAUGUGAUCCUCAUUGAAUCCAGAAACUUUGGUUCUUGAAGCGAUUGAAGGCUGUUACCACUGUUACCCUUCCGCCAUAGCCAUCGAUGGAAGAAGACUAGAAGAGUAUUCAUUUUGUUACUAGAAGCUUUGAUUGAGAUCAGCCCCAAUCUCACAAACAAUUUUGAUGGGUAAUUCAAAAGUAAUUGCAGCUGUUUAUGGACCAAGAGAGGUACUCUAUUACUCAUUCUCUUAAGAUUGGUGAUGCUUUUAUUUAUCUGUGUUUAAUUGUAUACAUGUUCUCGUUCAGAUUCAAUACAAAAGCCAACAAAAGAAUGGUCAUGUAUUGGUAUGUAUAUGUUUGUGUAUACUCUUCUUUGUAUAAAUCUGUUAGGAUGCCUCAGCUGCAUACAUCACUGCACUUCCACUGCGACCCUCUUCGGAUAAUUCGUCCAACCAUCCACAAGGAGAGUUUAUAAACAAAUAAAGAUCUUUUUCGAGUCAAAGUUCUAUGGUGAAGAGCCCGGUCUAGGUGAUCUCCCUCCAGGGAAGAAGGCAGUGGUAAAUGGGUGAGGUAUUUCUUACUCGACUGAAAGGAGAGGAACGCCUCAUCACUUCAAUUGUUGCUUAUGGAUACGUCGCUUUACUUGUAUGUUUUGAACCGGCUUGUUGCGCUCAUCACAAAUGUCAAACCUGAAUAGCUACGAGAUGUUAUGUCAGGAGGAUGGUUCUUUGUGCUUCAAAUGAAGACCACUCAGUGGUGGAACCAUUGCUACCACCUACUGGAGCUAAACCAGGAGAGCGUGUUUCAUUUUCAGGGUAUAUAAUAUAGUGUAAAUUGGCUUAACACCAAACCUCUUUUGAUUGCUUUGGGUACAUACUUUGUAACAUCACUUACUUAAGAACCCUUAUGUCUUAAUAUUUAUAUAGAGUCGAAGGAAAGCCAGAAGAACCCUUA